CAGUCGCCACGGGAAUACGGAGGGAGCUAGCGUUGUUCGGAAUUACUGGGCGUAAAGCGCGCGUAGGCGGUUACUCAAGUCAGAGGUGAAAGCCCGGGGCUCAACCCCGGAACUGCCUUUGAAACUAGGUGACUAGAAUCUUGGAGAGGUCAGUGGAAUUCCGAGUGUAGAGGUGAAAUUCGUAGAUAUUCGGAAGAACACCAGUGGCGAAGGCGACUGACUGGACAAGUAUUGACGCUGAGGUGCGAAAGCGUGGGGAGCAAACAGGAUUAGAGACCCGCGUAGUCCCUGUCUCUUAUAC
rnacentral:rRNA from 1 species